AAGUCGUAACAAGGUUUCCGUAGCAUAAGUUAGGAACAUGAUUCUUCCCUAUGGGUAAACUUAUAGAAGCCUUAGUAUCCCUUAUGGGAAGCCACACGACUGAAAAUAAAGUGGCUAUGCUAGUUGACAUAUGUCAGCGACACAACUGGACUGUUUUGGGAACACCCUGAGAUUGUGCUUCGUAGCGCAACGUGGGCAACCCACAGCGAUUAUUUUACAGUAUUUAUUUAUUGUGAAAGAACGUUCACAGACUAAGUAGUUGUGGAUAGAGU
rnacentral:misc_RNA from 1 species